rnacentral:rRNA from 1 species
CCUCAAAUCAGGUAGGACUACCCGCUGAACUUAAGCAUAUCAAUAAGCGGAGGAAAAGAAACUAACAAGGAUUCCCCCAGUAACUGCGAGUGAAGAGGGAAGAGCUCAAAUUUAGAAUCUGGCAGUCUUUGGCUGUCCGAGUUGUAAAUUAGAGAAGUGUUAUCCGCGCUGGACUGUGCAUAAGUCUCUUGGAAAAGGGCAUCAUAGAGGGUGACAAUCCCGUCUUUGGCACAGACUCCCAGGGCUUUUGUGAUGCGCUCUCGAUGAGUCGAGUUGUUUGGGAAUGCAGCUCUAAAUGGGUGGUAAAUUCCAUCUAAAGCUAAAUAUUGGCGAGAAACCGAUAGCGCACAAGUACCGUGAGGGAAAGAUGAAAAGAACUUUGAAAAGAGAGGUAAACAGUACGUGAAAUUGUUGAAAGGGAAACGCUUGGAGCCAGUCGCAUCUUUCAGAAAUCAACCUGACCUUUUGGUAUGGUGUACUUUCUGUUAUGAUGGGUCAGCAUCAAUUUUGAUCGUUGGAUAAAGGCUUUGGGAAAGUGGCAUCUCCGGAUGUGUUAUAGCCCUUGGUUACACAACGGUUGGGAUUGAGGAACUCAGUGCUUUGGCACUCAGGAUGCUGGCAUAAU